rnacentral:rRNA from 1 species
GGCUACGGCCAUAUCACGAUGAAUACACCUCAUCCCGUCCGAUUUGAGAAGUUAAGCAUCGUCGAGCAUCAGUACUGAGGUUGGAGACAACUUGGGAACCUGUGGUGUUGUAGUCU